rnacentral:rRNA from 1 species
AUGCAGACUGAGGAUACUGUUUCCGAGCACGGUUCUGACAAGGUCGAGAGUGACAAAUUGUCUAAGUGGGCGGCUAAGAAGAAAAAGCUCACUUGUUUCCGGUGUGGGGAACCGGGGCACUUUUUGGUCCAGUGUACGGCGGAGCUUUGUGAUCUUUGCCGGAAGCCUAAUCACACAGCGGCUGACUGUCCUCUGAUGUUGGGGCCAAAACCUUCCGUCCAGAUAUACAGGGUGUGUUGCUCCGAGUUGAUGUUUUUUGAAUCUCCGUCUGCGGAACCUUCCGCGCCCAUAGUGGAAACCUCCUUCCCCGGUGUUGUGAAGGUGGUCCACGGGCCUUUGACCGAAGCACAGAUUAUUCAGCAGUUGAGAGAGCUAGCUCCGGGUAAUUUUCAGUGGUCAUUACUUAAGCUCUCUGAUAAUUCGUAUAAAGUGGACUUCCCUUCUAAGGAGGAUCAGGUGAGGAUUCUCAAGUUUGGUAUGAGCAGGGUCACAGGCACUAGCUUUGUGCUGGCGUUCGAUGAGUGGAAAAAGAAAGAACCACAGGGCACACCUUUAACUCAGAUUUGGGUUCGUUUCUCUGGUGCCCCGUCUGCUCCUUUGGACAGCUUUCUGGUGACAUGGAGUCUGGGGUCGCUGAUAGGUAAGACCGAGCAGGUGGAUAUGCAGUUCACUCGGGCUCAUGGGGUCGCACGGCUGCUAGUUAGUGUCGCCAAUAUUCAGUUCUUGCCAGACGUGGUGCCUUGGACUUACGCAGGCGUUCUGUAUCAGUUGGACGUGCACUAUGAGGAUCCUGAUCUUUUCAAUGAGUUUGAGGAUGACAAUCCCAUGGACACUUCUGAGGGAGGUGGGGGUUCAGGUACCAGGGAUGACAAUGCUAAGAGUAAUGAGGAUAAGGCUUUGGGACCGUCGGGGCAGUCGGAGAAUGCCGACUCCACUCCUGUUGGGCCGUCCUCCACGGUACCAACUACCACGCUUCAGCUGGGUUCUCUUGGGGCCUUCUCGGCGCCGCCGAGAUUGUCGAGUGUUAGGGCUGGUCCUCCGAGUCCAAGACUUAGAUUAUGUGUGGGGAGGUCGGUCGACCACACUGAUGAGGUGGGGCAGCAGGCCCCGUCGUCUGUCCCUCGCUCGCCUUCGGCCAUGGCGAUCGUGGCGGAGCCGGUCGCUGCGGGACGAGCGGACUUGCAGGAGGCUAGACCUUCUGGGUCCUUGAUGUGGCUGGAGACUGGGGGCGGCGCAGCCCCACUGGAGAGGUCCACGGAUGGCAGGGAAACGGGUGCGCAGGAGGCCGCCCUUUCUCCUGCGGUGGCACUGGAAGGCAGCCUGGUGGGUGCGCUUCCUGCGGAACCGGCAGCGCCUUUUUCUUUGGGCACGAGCAUCAGCGAGGUGGAUACUUCGUCAUCUCGGGUGGCUGCUCCGGCGGCUCCGGUGAUGGUCUGA